rnacentral:rRNA from 1 species
UACGUAGGAGGCAAGCGUUGUCCGGAAUUACUGGGCGUAAAGCGCGUGUAGGUGGUGGGACAAGUCUGCUGUGAAAGUCCAGGGCUCAACCCUGGAAGGCCGGUGGAAACUGUCGGGCUAGAGUCCGGAAGAGGCGAGUGGAAUUCCUGGUGUAGCGGUGGAAUGCGCAGAUAUCAGGAGGAACACCAAUAGCGAAGGCAGCUCGCUGGGACGUUACUGACACUGAGGCGCGAAAGCGUGGGGAGCGAACAGG